UCUGCCUCCCGAGUGCUGGGAUUAAAGGCGUGCGCCACCACACCCGGCUAAGCUAAAGUAUUUUAAAAAUUAUUUUUAUUAAUUGUUUUUUAAAACAAGGUUUUGCACUGAGACUCAACUUAUUCUGUAACCCGGGCUGGUCUUAGGAUUGCAGCAGUCCCUUCGCCCCAGUCCCCCGAGAGCUGGUGUUAGAGGCAUGAGCUCCCAGUGUCUGGCUUUGAGGCUAAUUUUCUAAAGUGAAUGAAGCAGUUUCCAACCCUGGUAACAGAUGGCAACAUGGGAAUUUUCUGUUCCAGAAGUGCAGGAAAGAGCCCAGCCAUAAAACCAAUAAGGCCUGGCUUCUUCAUUUGAAUAAUUCUUUGAUGACUUCUUUAGUCUGCAUGUCCCCCUGCAAUUAUUGGUUUAUUCAACUUUCCUGAUUCAUCUUAAGUCAGUUUUAUUAAUUCAUUUUUUUUCUGAAAAAAAUCAAUUCAUGAAAUCUUACUACUUACUAGUAUAAGGAUUUUAAGCAGCAGUCUUAUAUUUUUUCAAAUGUGUGCCACUGCGUUUCUCAUCUCCAAUCUUCCCCUCCCCUCCCUUUCCCUUCUUUAGUUUUUCUCGGUGCUGGAUCAAACCCAGGGUCUCGUGCAUGCUAGGCAUUGACUUCAGCUCUUGUCACCAUUGCUUGUUGGGGCAUGAGCUGUAGCACAUUGUGUGUGUGGCUGGGUAGGCAGUGAGCCCAUCAGAAGAGACACAGUCAGGAAAUGUGGGUCAUGACAGGGCAGCGGCCUCCUCUUCUUGGGGAAACAAGUCCUCUUGAGUGACAGCAGCAGGGUAUGUUUGCCCGACAUUCUGGUCAUGUUUCAUAAGGUUUUCAACAAGGCUCUUCUGGUAUACUUUAUAUAGAGAAGUGAUUACUAGCGUGUAGAUCUUGAAGCCAAAAUUGAAGCUAACAAUUUGAAUUCCACUUCCACCAGCUCUGCGGCAUUGGACAUUAACCCCCACGUGCUUGUUCCUUACCUGGGUUAAAUGCUUGCUAACAAUGGCGCCCUCACAGGUCAGAUCUCAGUAAGCAGUGGUUCUAGUGGCUGUCUUCACUGACACAUUCUUCCUAGAGAUGAGGAACUUUGGUUUCCAGGGAGGGGAGACCCGUUUCUUCAUGUGGAGGCUUCUUGCUUGAAUGGAAGACAGUCUUGAGGUUGUCUGAGGAGGAUAACUCUGCCAAAGCUUUGGAGAAUGUGGCUUCUGAGUGUUGCUCUUGCCUUGGGCCAUUUUGUCAGCAGCUUCCCCCACACUGGAGCUGCAGGCUGGAGGUCCUUGCAAAACAGUGCCUAAGUAUGAAUGUGGCUAUGUAAGGUAAGUGGGUCACGGUACGUUAGCUUAUCCCUCCUUCUUGCCUGGCCUUUCUGUAAUAGGUUUUCGCAGGAAAGGACCUGAUGGGCACUGAUUGCCCUACUUAGUUUUCCUUUGCUCUGUAGGUGAGUUUUUCCACUCACUCAGUUUUCCCUAGGUGAGCUUGCAAGCUGACCCAGGAAACUCAACUGGCAGUUUUAUGCCUUCCCUUGGUAAGGGAUGCUGUGAUGGAGGGUUUUCCUCAAGACCUGUGGUUUUGUGUGGUCAGGCUUGCUGACUUUGCAUAGGGACUUUGGCCUGGUUGUAGCUAUGGAAAGGACCUGACCGAAGGGGCUUGUUUGACUCCUAAGGCUAUCUCUAGUCUAGAAGCUUGUGCCUAAGCUUGCAUAUUGAUCCUCAACUGCCACCCUACCCCCAGUGCUGGGACUGAGCUCAGCACUUUGCUAAGUAAGCACUGAGCUAAGUCCUCAACUCCUUGUUUUGUUUUUCUUGAGAUAGGGUGUCAUAUAGCCUAGGCUGUCCUUGAACUUGUCACAUAGCUGGGGAUGACUUGAGCUGAUCCUUCUGCUUUAAACUGGGUUAUUUCCUAUCUGUGAUGGGUGAUACUGAUAAUAUAACCAGCAAUUACAGGGUGGGAUUAUACUUGGCUUGCGUAUUGCAUAUUGGAGUCCCCCCAGUUCUUCUCAGUACUGGAGAUAGAACUCUUGGCCUUAAGCUUGCUAAGUAAGCAUCUAACACUGAUCUAUGAACCUAGCAUGCAUUUUUACCCCUUAAAAAAUUUAAAGACUUAUUUAUUGUUAUAUGUAAGUACACUGUUGCUAUCUUCAGACAUACCAGAAGAGUGUCGGAUCUCAUUACAGUUGGUUGUGAACCACCAUGUGGUUGCUGGGAAUUGAACUCAGGACCUCUGGAAGAACAGUUAGUGUUCUUAGCCACUGAGCCAUCUCUCCAGCCCCCCUAAAUUUAUUUCCUUUUAUUGUGUGCAUGUUUGUAAGUGUAUCCAUGCAGUCUGGUCACAGAGAAUCUAUGCCGAUCAGCAGACAAUUUAAGGGAGUUAUUUCUCUUCUCCCACCUCCUGGGCUUCAGGGAUUGCCCUCUAGUUUGGGUGGCAAGUCCUUUACCUGCUGAGGUGUUUCCAGGCCCCUCUGAUGCCCUUUGGGCAUAGCCCCACCCCAUAUAUUUGCUUAUAUAUAAUCGUGGGUCAGGUGUGGUGCCACAUGCCUGUAAUUGUGGCACAAUGGAGACAGAGGCAGAAGGAUCACUUCAGGUUUGAUCUUGGUCUACAGAGUACAUACAUUCUAGGCCAGCCAAGGUUACACAAUGAGAGCCUAACUCAAAAAGCC
rnacentral:lncRNA from 1 species